AUGAAGAACGUAGCAAAAUGCGAUACUUGGUGUGAAUUGCAGAAUCCCGUGAACCAUCGAGUUUUUGAACGCAAGUUGCGCCCGAAGCCUUUUGGCCGAGGGCACGUCUGCCUGGGCGUCACGCAUCGCGUCGCCCCCCACAAUUCUCCGUAAAGGGAACGUGUGUUUUGGGGGCGGAUAUUGGUCUCCCGUGCUCAUGGCGUGGUUGGCCGAAAUAGGAGUCCUUUCGAUGGACGCACGAACUAGUGGUGGUCGUAAAAACCCUCGUCUUUUGUUUCGUGCUGUUGCUCGCAAGGUAAACUCUUUAAAAACCCCAAUGUGUCGUCUCUUGACGACGCUUCGACCGCGACCCCAGGUCAGGCGGGACUACCCGCUGAGUUUAAGCAUAUCAAUAAGCGGAGGA
rnacentral:misc_RNA from 1 species